AGAGUUUGAUCCUGGCUCAGGAUGAACGCUAGCGGCAGGCUUAACACAUGCAAGUCGAACGGUAAGGCCCUGCUUGCAGGGUACACGAGUGGCGCACGGGUGCGUAACGCGUAUGCAACCUACCUUUAACAGAGAGAUAGCCCUGAGAAAUUGGGAUUAAUAUCACAUAACAUCUAGAUACCACAUAGUAUCAAGAUUAAAGCUCCGGCGGUUGAAGAUGGGCAUGCGUAACAUUAGCUAGAUGGUAAGGUAACGGCUUACCAUGGCAACGAUGUUUAGGGGUUCUGAGAGGAUUAUCCCCCACACUGGUACUGAGACACGGACCAGACUCCUACGGGAGGCAGCAGUGAGGAAUAUUGGGCAAUGGACGCAAGUCUGACCCAGCCAUGCCGCGUGCAGGAAGACUGCCCUAUGGGUUGUAAACUGCUUUUAUAUACCAAGAAACGCUUCCACGUGUGGAGGUUUGACGGUAGUAUAUGAAUAAGGACCGGCUAACUCCGUGCCAGCAGCCGCGGUAAUACGGAGGGUCCAAGCGUUAUCCGGAUUUAUUGGGUUUAAAGGGUGCGCAGGCGGUAUUAUAAGUCAGUGGUGAAAUCUGGAGGCUCAA
rnacentral:rRNA from 1 species